CUCGCACGUAUAUACGACAAAAACUUGUCUGUUCGUAAUUCUCCGUGAACACGAAAAUGACCGAUAAGUGUCAGUGAUUUGAUCGAUCACAUGCGGAGAAUCAACUUCCAUGCCAGCUAUUGAACCAAUUAACGAGUUAUCGAAAGAUGGGCGGUAACGCAGAUGAAACCUUUGAAGUGACGACGAUGUUAUUCCUUUCAAUAUUACUUCCAUGAUU
rnacentral:lncRNA from 1 species